rnacentral:rRNA from 1 species
AGGGGCAGCAGGGUGUAGCAAUACAUCGCUGGCGACCGGCAAACGGGUGCGGAACACGUACGCAACUUUCCUUCAAGUGAGGAAUAGCCCAGGGAAACUUGGAUUAAUACCUCGUAAUAUUAUGAAGUGGCAUCACUUUAUAAUUAUAGCUCCGGCGCUUGAAGAUGGGCGUGCGCCUGAUUAGGUAGUUGGCGGGGUAACGGCCCACCAAGCCUACGAUCAGUAACUGGUGUGAGAGCACGACCAGUCACACGGGCACUGAGACACGGGCCCGACUCCUACGGGAGGCAGCAGUAAGGAAUAUUGGGCAAUGGACGCAAGUCUGACCCAGCCAUGCCGCGUGGAGGAUGAAGGUCCUCUGGAUUGUAAACUUCUUUUAUCUGGGAAGAAAUCCAUGAAUUCUUUCGUGGUUGACGGUACCAGAUGAAUAAGCACCGGCUAACUCCGUGCCAGCAGCCGCGGUAAUACGGAGGGUGCAAGCGUUAUCCGGAUUCACUGGGUUUAAAGGGUGCGUAGGUGGGCAGGUAAGUCAGUGGUGAAAUCUCCGGGCUUAACUCGGAAACUGCCGUUGAUACUAUCUGUCUUGAAUAUCGUGGAGGUUAGCGGAAUAUGUCAUGUAGCGGUGAAAUGCUUAGAUAUGACAUAGAACACCCAUUGCGAAGGCAGCUAACUACACGAUCAUUGACACUGAGGCACGAAAGCGUGGGGAGCAAACAGGAUUA